GACGAAGGGGGCUAGCGUUGUUCGGAAUUACUGGGCGUAAAGCGUGUGUAGGCGGUUGUUCAAGUCAGGUGUGAAAGCCUUGAGCUCAACUCAAGAAAUGCACUUGAUACUGGAUGACUAGAGGACCGGAGAGGAUAGUGGAAUUCCCAGUGUAGUGGUGAAAUACGUAGAGAUUGGGAAGAACACCAGUGGCGAAGGCGGCUAUCUGGACGGUUUCUGACGCUAAGACGCGAAAGCGUGGGGAGCAAACAGG
rnacentral:rRNA from 1 species